GAUGAACGCUGGCGGCGUGCCUAAUACAUGCAAGUCGAGCGAACAGACGAGGAGCUUGCUCCUCUGACGUUAGCGGCGGACGGGUGAGUAACACGUGGAUAACCUACCUAUAAGACUGGGAUAACUUCGGGAAACCGGAGCUAAUACCGGAUAAUAUAUUGAACCGCAUGGUUCAAUAGUGAAAGACGGUUUUGCUGUCACUUAUAGAUGGAUCCGCGCCGCAUUAGCUAGUUGGUAAGGUAACGGCUUACCAAGGCAACGAUGCGUAGCCGACCUGAGAGGGUGAUCGGCCACACUGGAACUGAGUCACGGUCCAGACUCCUACGGGAGGCAGCAGUAGGGAAUCUUCCGCAAUGGGCGAAAGCCUGACGGAGCAACGCCGCGUGAGUGAUGAAGGUCUUCGGAUCGUAAAACUCUGUUAUUAGGGAAGAACAAAUGUGUAAGUAACUAUGCACGUCUUGACUGUACCUAAUCAGAAAGCCACGGCUAACUACGUG
rnacentral:rRNA from 1 species